rnacentral:rRNA from 1 species
AACGAACGCUGGCGGCAGGCUUAACACAUGCAAGUCGAGCGCCCCGCAAGGGGAGCGGCAGACGGGUGAGUAACGCGUGGGAAUCUACCUUUUGCUACGGAAUAACUCAGGGAAACUUGUGCUAAUACCGUAUGUGCCCUUCGGGGGAAAGAUUUAUCGGCAAAGGAUGAGCCCGCGUUGGAUUAGCUAGUUGGUGGGGUAAAGGCCCACCAAGGCGACGAUCCAUAGCUGGUCUGAGAGGAUGAUCAGCCACACUGGGACUGAGACACGGCCCAGACUCCUACGGGAGGCAGCAGUGGGGAAUAUUGGACAAUGGGCGCAAGCCUGAUCCAGCCAUGCCGCGUGAGUGAUGGAGGCCCUAGGGUUGUAAAGCUCUUUCACCGGUGAAGAUAAUGACGGUAACCGGAGAAGAAGCCCCGGCUAACUUCGUGCCAGCAGCCGCCGUAAAAC